GGUUAAGCGACUAAGCGUACACGGUGGAUGCCCUGGCAGUCAGAGGCGAUGAAGGACGUGCUAAUCUGCGAAAAGCGCCGGCGAGGUGAUAUGAACCCUUGACCCGGCGAUGUCCGAAUGGGGAAACCCAGUGUGAUUCGUCACACUAUCGUUAACUGAAUACAUAGGUUAACGAGGCGAACCGGGGGAACUGAAACAUCUAAGUACCCCGAGGAAAAGAAAUCAACCGAGAUUCCCCCAGUAGCGGCGAGCGAACGGGGAGCAGCCCAGAGUCUGAAUCAGCUUGUGUGUUAGUGGAAGCGUCUGGAAAGUCGCACGGUACAGGGUGAAAGUCCCGUACACGAAAGCACACAGGCUGUGAACUCGAAGAGUAGGGCGGGACACGUGGUAUCCUGUCUGAAUAUGGGGGGACCAUCCUCCAAGGCUAAAUACUCCUGACUGACCGAUAGUGAACCAGUACCGUGAGGGAAAGGCGAAAAGAACCCCGGCGAGGGGAGUGAAAAAGAACCUGAAACCGUGUACGUACAAGCAGUGGGAGCACCUUCGGGUGUGACUGCGUACCUUUUGUAUAAUGGGUCAGCGACUUAUAUUCUGUAGCAAGGUUAACCGUAUAGGGGAGCCGAAGGGAAACCGAGUCUUAACUGGGCGUUAAGUUGCAGGGUAUAGACCCGAAACCCGGUGAUCUAGCCAUGGGCAGGUUGAAGGUUGGGUAACACUAACUGGAGGACCGAACCGACUAAUGUUGAAAAAUUAGCGGAUGACCUGUGGCUGGGGGUGAAAGGCCAAUCAAACCGGGAGAUAGCUGGUUCUCCCCGAAAGCUAUUUAGGUAGCGCCUCGUGAACUCAUCUUCGGGGGUAGAGCACUGUUUCGGCUAGGGGGCCAUCCCGGCUUACCAACCCGAUGCAAACUACGAAUACCGAAGAAUGUUAUCACGGGAGACACACGGCGGGUGCUAACGUCCGUCGUGAAGAGGGAAACAACCCAGACCGCCAGCUAAGGUCCCAAAGUCAUGGUUAAGUGGGAAACGAUGUGGGAAGGCCCAGACAGCCAGGAUGUUGGCUUAGAAGCAGCCAUCAUUUAAAGAAAGCGUAAUAGCUCACUGGUCGAGUCGGCCUGCGCGGAAGAUGUAACGGGGCUAAACCAUGCACCGAAGCUGCGGCAGCGACGCUUAUGCGUUGUUGGGUAGGGGAGCGUUCUGUAAGCCGUUGAAGGUGGCCUGUGAGGGUUGCUGGAGGUAUCAGAAGUGCGAAUGCUGACAUAAGUAACGAUAAAGCGGGUGAAAAGCCCGCUCGCCGGAAGACCAAGGGUUCCUGUCCAACGUUAAUCGGGGCAGGGUGAGUCGACCCCUAAGGCGAGGCCGAAAGGCGUAGUCGAUGGGAAACAGGUUAAUAUUCCUGUACUUGGUGUUACUGCGAAGGGGGGACGGAGAAGGCUAUGUUAGCCGGGCGACGGUUGUCCCGGUUUAAGCAUGUAGGCGGAGGUUCCAGGUAAAUCCGGUACCUUUUAACGCUGAGGUGUGAUGACGAGGCACUACGGUGCUGAAGUAACAAAUGCCCUGCUUCCAGGAAAAGCCUCUAAGCAUCAGGUAACACGAAAUCGUACCCCAAACCGACACAGGUGGUCAGGUAGAGAAUACCAAGGCGCUUGAGAGAACUCGGGUGAAGGAACUAGGCAAAAUGGUGCCGUAACUUCGGGAGAAGGCACGCUGAUAUGUAGGUGAAGCCCCUGCGGGUGGAGCUGAAAUCAGUCGAAGAUACCAGCUGGCUGCAACUGUUUAUUAAAAACACAGCACUGUGCAAACACGAAAGUGGACGUAUACGGUGUGACGCCUGCCCGGUGCCGGAAGGUUAAUUGAUGGGGUUAGCGGCAACGCGAAGCUCUUGAUCGAAGCCCCGGUAAACGGCGGCCGUAACUAUAACGGUCCUAAGGUAGCGAAAUUCCUUGUCGGGUAAGUUCCGACCUGCACGAAUGGCGUAAUGAUGGCCAGGCUGUCUCCACCCGAGACUCAGUGAAAUUGAACUCGCUGUGAAGAUGCAGUGUACCCGCGGCAAGACGGAAAGACCCCGUGAACCUUUACUAUAGCUUGACACUGAACACUGGUCCUUGAUGUGUAGGAUAGGUGGGAGGCUUUGAAGCGUGGACGCCAGUCUGCGUGGAGCCGUCCUUGAAAUACCACCCUUUAAUGGCUGGUGUUCUAACGUAGACCCGUAAUCCGGGUUGCGGACAGUGUCUGGUGGGUAGUUUGACUGGGGCGGUCUCCUCCCAAAGAGUAACGGAGGAGCACGAAGGUUAGCUAAUCCUGGUCGGACAUCAGGAGGUUAGUGCAAUGGCAUAAGCUAGCUUGACUGCGAGAGUGACGGCUCGAGCAGGUGCGAAAGCAGGUCAUAGUGAUCCGGUGGUUCUGAAUGGAAGGGCCAUCGCUCAACGGAUAAAAGGUACUCCGGGGAUAACAGGCUGAUACCGCCCAAGAGUUCAUAUCGACGGCGGUGUUUGGCACCUCGAUGUCGGCUCAUCACAUCCUGGGGCUGAAGUAGGUCCCAAGGGUAUGGCUGUUCGCCAUUUAAAGUGGUACGCGAGCUGGGUUUAGAACGUCGUGAGACAGUUCGGUCCCUAUCUGCCGUGGGCGCUGGAGAAUUGAGGGGGGCUGCUCCUAGUACGAGAGGACCGGAGUGGACGCAUCACUGGUGUUCGGGUUGUCAUGCCAAUGGCACUGCCCGGUAGCUAAAUGCGGAAGAGAUAAGUGCUGAAAGCAUCUAAGCACGAAACUUGCCCCGAGAUGAGUUCUCCCUGACUCCUUGAGAGUCCUGAAGGAACGUUGAAGACGACGACGUUGAUAGGUCGGGUGUGUAAGCGCAGCGAUGCGUUGAGCUAACCGAUACUAAUGAACCGUGAGGCUUAACCUU
rnacentral:rRNA from 1 species